CCGUGCUAGAUGGGGAGGUGGCGGUGCCCUGUAACUCGCAAUCCGCCUUAGCGGGGUUGAAUUCCUAUCUGAGGCUUAUUCUGUGUGAGGCUUGGUCUUUCUGGACAGUGUUGACGAUUGGGUCCUACGCAACGAGUACUUCUGAACCGUGUCAGGUCCUGACGGAAGCAGCACUAAGGUUGGCUUCUCGUGUGCCGUAGGGUUGCCUGGUUUGAGCUGGAAGGGAAGUUACCGCUUGGACAGAUAAGUCAAAGAUAGGUGCACGG
rnacentral:SRP_RNA from 1 species